ensembl:lncRNA
AUGAUGAUAAUGCAGGAGCAACUGCCAACUGUUCCUUCAUGCUCUCUCUUAUGACCGAUCUAAUGCCUCAGCAGUGCCGAGGGUUUUUGGGUUAGAUUGACAUUUAGCCAAACAAACUGCAUCCUGUGUGAGCACGUCUAACGCCGUGGCCUGGUGCUACUGACAGCCAGUGCAUGCAGCAGGUCCUGGGGUUACAGUGCACUUUGUUGAGCUAGCCCGGUGCUGGUCGUCCAUCUGUGGUGCUCUCUACCAGCAGCAAGCAUGCUCGUCCACUCCUGAUCUCUGAUGCCCAGCAGCUGUGUCGUCAGCGUGGCCAUACAGCCACUGGGAUUUUUACAGCAGCAUUUCCGGUCUCGAGUCCUGUUAGGUGCUAUCAGACCUGGCCUCACGUCCUGUCACUGACCUGUUCAGCAGUGACCAGCGUGUAGUGUAGACCUGUACCAGAGUCCAAGGUUUGACUCCAUUCAGGUGGAUUUGUCCUUAAAACCCACAGUUUUACUGAAGCCCAGUGACUCGAUGAGGCUUGGGGCAGGUCGUGGUCGGGUCCAGAACGAUGGGUAGAAGCUGUGUUUUGACUCUUUGUGAUUCUCCAAAUGAUUUUCCAGCACUGCUUUACCCAAAGGGAAGCUUGCAGAGAUUCAGAGAUGGGUCCGAAUGUGGAAGACGGUGCUGUCCACGUCUCUGACUGUUCAAGGUGCUCAGUGUCUUUUCAUUGUUGGUUGUAUACAAACCUACAUUCAGCUCUUCACCUCACCUGGAGUUUCAUAGAAAGUGGUCACCUGUUAACAGAGCUGGGGUCAAAGUCCUCCCCCAUUCUGACAUCAUCAGGGUUUCUGCGGCGACUCGGUGUGAAGAAACCUUGAAAUUUGCCUUUUAAUGCACCACGCCUGCCUCUUUCCCACUGAUGUGGUACCGAAACAGUGGCCCCACCAGAGAGCCUGCUGCUCCUGAAGUUCGGACCCGUGACGUCAAACGCUACGGGAGGGCCUACCGCAAGAAAUUCAUCCAGUGAUUGGCAGACUCUGGGUGGGGUCCUUUUCCCGCAGACAUUAGCCCAACAUCUGCUAACGAUUCUCAGAUCUGUGUGCUGGUUCUGGCACCAGUGGAAAAGUGGUCAUUGUGACCAGUAACAGUUCUCAAACACAAGCUCCUGUACUUCCUGCCUCCUCAGACGUCCUGUUUCCUUCCCUGACCACACAGUGCUUCAGCUCUGCUGUUUACAUCUCUUCACCAAACCUGCCAAGAUGAAGCUCGGACGCCUUUGUGUUUCGAAUUGAGUUUGGGUCCGUUUGUUAAUUACAGUCUGUGUUCACACUCUGUUUGUUUUUCGCCUUAAGGUUAAGGUGUCACCGUUUCUCUGUGCAACAGUCUGUAGAUAGAUGCUCUAUUGAUCCCACAAGGGAACUGGGACCCAAACAUGUGACAUAGUCUGCUUGUGUUAUCCUCACGGAGAACCUCGUUAGAAUAACUGCAUUUCACAAACCACAGUGUCGGUUUUUCAGCCUCCUUUCAUUGAAGUAAAUCAGAUGGCUUUGUCAUGUGACCGCACCUUCAGUAGUUUCAGACGUUUCCUCGGAGUUGUGUACCCAAACCAUGUCUGUUGGUCCAGUCAGAGAAAGAACAACAGAAACGCCUCCAGAUCAGGCUGUUUAGCCAUCUGAUCUGCUUCUCUGUCGUGUGUGGUCAGAGUUUGAGAUCAUUGGAUGUAAAAGAAGCAUUUGUGAACCGCAAGCUUCUCACGGAUUUUCUUAUUUCUCUGCUUUCCUGAGCUGAUGUCAGCUGUUCCCCAGAUCUGAGUCCUGAACAUAAAACAACACAUCAUUGGCGUAGAGCACAUCUCCUCUCACUCCUGUUCAGUCUAAACGUGGCCAAAGCUUCAAAUGAAGAUGUUAACCUGCAGGCCAAGUACAGAAAACACAGCCACGGGUGCUGCCCCUCAGCAGGCUUCCAGAAGACAGCGAGCGUUAUUUCAGUGAGACGGUUUGUUCCAAACAGAAGAUGCUGGCCAGGCUUUAGUGGACCAAGCGUUGAUUGGUCAGUCCACAGGGUGUGGUGAAAUACGUUUUAACUGAGGUUUAAUAAAUAAAUAAAUGUGGGCCGUGUCUUCCUGGCCUCCUGUUAACACAUAAUGGCUGUUUCGACACAUCCAGAAUCAUUUCGUGUCGUUAACGGGCAGCUCACUCUUUGCCUUUAAAUCUAUAUUUCACAGACGUGUGGUCUCAUCACUAAGCCCCACCUCCUGCUGUUGGGUAUCUCGGUAACAAAGUAAACUCAAGCACCUUAAAUCCGUUAAAGCUGACGACAUGUCUCGGCACAUUUGACCAGUGAAAACUAAAACUAACGCAGGACGCUACGCAGCUACUCAGCUUCUGUUUUCACGGCGACAAAAACAGUCAGUAACAUUAGCUUAAACGAGGUCGCUAGCACAAUGCUAACAUUAGCUUUCCUUCUGCUUUGCUGUUUAAGGACGGCCCCUUUCUGGGGUGGAGUUUCUGGUCUCGAUCAGAUGUGGUUUUGUUCCCGACUCCCAGCCUCGUGUCACAUGUCAGCUGCACACAGGUGUUCAUUUUAUUUUCCAAUCAACAAACAAAAGUCACCUGACUGCAAACUAUAUCACCAUGGCAACAUGUUAAUCUGACCCCACCCCCGCUUCUUUUAUUCCUCCUCUCCUUGUUUUAUAAAGAAAUAAAAACACUGUAAAGGUGAAUAAACUAUUUAUA